UGGGUAAAGAGGGUUCUAGUGCUCAAAGU
rnacentral:piRNA from 1 species